UCCUGCUAGAAGGAUGGAACUCUGCACCACGGAAAAUCCACGCAGCCACUCCAAGAAGCCGGACUUCACCUGAGUUUGUCCGAAGGGUGCGGAGGCGACUAGAGGACUGGGAGCGUGUCUACCCCAUCAAGGGGGUCAUUUCAUUGGUUGGUGCAAUGAAGACUGGCAUGAUUAUUCAUAUCACAUCAAGAAUAUCAACUCAUCAGUGUGCUGAUACAAACCAGAGGCUUUCUAGCAGAGAGAGCUUGGAGAGGAGGAAUCCUCCCAGCUGUACUCAUGUUGUGGCUCCAGACAGAAAAUGUGCUUCAUUCAUCAGCUUUUCUUUGGUGGGGGUGGGGUGGGAAUCCUAAUUUCUAUUUCUACUCUAGAAUAUCCUGCAAACUCUCAACUGCUAGCUAGAUACCUUGGUUCAUCUGGAUCUCUCUUGUGUCGGAAUAGUCGAUCAGUUUUUCCACAAUCUGGCUCCACAGAUAAUGAAGCAGUAACAGUAAAGAAAUGAGUUUCGUAGACUCAUCCUCCUUCUGCCAGUCUUGAAGCAGUCCAGUGGUUUCGUUAGUGUUGUGAUUGAACUUCCUAUCUCCCACACAUGUUUGUGGUAAAGUGCUCAUCUUGGAAAACAAGGACACACACUGCGGCACUGGAGUUUGCUUUUGGAAUAUAUGACAGAGUGAAGCUUGAACAAAUAGCAUUUUUUAAAAUUGAUACGGUGCUACUGGCACAGUACCAUCUAUCUUGAUAUUGUGUGCCAGCUUUAACUUGUUUUGGACCACACCUCCUUCAAGAGAACGGUUGUGGCUGGUGUGGGGCUUGAUACCAUGAUAAAGAGCCAUCAUAUCUCUUGUGAUGAGAAUCUAUAGAACUUCACUCUAGUGUUCCAUAUUACCUCCUGUUUUGAUCAGUAUACAUUGUAUACAUGCAUUAAAUUAUCAUAUUGUAGCCCAUAAAUAUGUUUAUCUAUUGUUAAUAAAAUUGUUUUAAAAAUGCAUGUAUUAAGAUGUUAAAUCCUAUAUGCGUUAUUACUUCAAUCCUAAGUGAACGAGAAAGCAAAUGUUACUGUUUAUGUUCACUCAUUCCUCAUAAAUGGAAUUUCUCAGGGUACAUUGUCUUUUCCUGGAAUUAAUUAUUUCAAUACUUUGUUUUGUUCUUACAGAUUAUAAUGAA